UUGUUUCAGCAGUGAAUGUACUAAAAUUGGAAUGAUAUAGACAUUAGCAUGGGUCCUAUGCAAGAAUGACGUGCAAAGUUGUGAAAUAUUUCAUAUGUUG
rnacentral:snRNA from 1 species